CAGUGUCAUCCACUCGUUAUAGAAAAAAGUUAGUCUGUGUUAACCAAUGGCAUGUAAAUACCGGCGCUGAUUAUGAAGGAAUUAACGCUCUUAGAACCACUCUGGGCGUUAUACAUGCCUGUUACCAAGACUGUAAUCCGGUGGGGACAUCGGAGAAACGCCCUGGAAGCCAGUAGAGAUGAAUUACCCAGCCACAUCGACCAGCUGCACCCAGACACUCAACACGGGUGACUUAAGGACAGAAGACUCAACAGGGUCGACAGAGUGCUUUCAUUCCCCUAAGUGUCUGGGUUCCUCAGCAUUUUCAUAAUUGUUCCAUUAUACACCCACUAGAAUCAAACAAUAAAAACUCAGUUCUUGCA